AAAGACUUGACGGUACUUCACAACAACCUAGAGGAGCCUGUCUAAUAACCGAUACCCCACGAUUAACCCAACCCACUCUAGCCCAUCAGUCUAUAUACCGCCGUCACCAGCUUACAUUGUGAAAAAAACAAAGUAAACCUAACAGACCCCCCCCCCCCUAACACGACAGGUCGAGGUGUAACAAAUGAGUGGGUAAAAGAUGGGCUACAUUUUCUUUCAAACAGAAAACACGAAUAGACUAUGAAACUAGAAACUGAAGGCGGAUUUAGCAGUAUGCUAAAGACAAAAUACUUA
rnacentral:rRNA from 1 species